AUGGGGCGUGUGGUUCCGGGAGACCGGGGCCUUCAGUUCGGCUGGCGCCCACACAGGUGCUGCAUGGCUGUCGUCAGCUCGUGUCGUGAGAUGUUGGGUUAAGUCCCGCAACGAGCGCAACCCUCACCUUCAGUUGCCAUCGGUACGGCCGGGCACUCUGGAGGAACUGCCGGUGACAAGCCGGAGGAAGCGGGGAUGACGUCAAGUCCUCAUGGCCCUUACGGGCUGGGCUACACACGUGCUACAAUGGCGGUGACAGCGGGGAGCGAAGGGGCGACCUGGAGCCAAUCCCGAAAAGCCGUCUCAGUUCGGAUUGUUCUCUGCAACUCGAGAGCAUGAAGUCGGAAUCGCUAGUAAUCGCGGAUCAGCACGCCGCGGUGAAUACGUUCCCGGGCCUUGUACACACCGCCCGUCACACCAUGGGAGUUGGUUUUACCCGAAGCCGGUGCGCUAACCUGAGCAAUCGGGAGGCAGCCGACCACGGUAAGGUCAGCGACUGGGGUGAAGUCGUAACAAGGUAGGCGUAGUGCU
rnacentral:rRNA from 1 species